CUACGGGCCGCUGCAGUGAGGAAUAUUGCACAAUGGGGGAAACCCUGAUGCAGCAACGCCGCGUGGAGGAUGACGCAUUUCGGUGUGUAAACUCCUUUUAUGAGUCAAGAAAAUGACGGUAGCUCAUGAAUAAGCACCGGCUAACUCCGUGCCAGCAGCCGCGGUAAUACGGAGGGUGCAAGCGUUACUCGGAAUCACUGGGCGUAAAGGACGCGUAGGCGGGCUUGUAAGUCAGGUGUGAAAUCCUACAGCUUAACUGUAGAACUGCACUUGAAACUACGAGCCUAGAGUAUGGGAGGGGCAGAUGGAAUUAGUGGUGUAGGGGUAAAAUCCGUAGAUAUCACUAGGAAUACCGAAAGCGAAGGCGAUCUGCUGGAACAUUACUGACGCUAAGGCGUGAAAGCGUGGGGAGCAAACGGGAUUAGAUACCCGAGUAGUC
rnacentral:rRNA from 1 species